GAAAARCACAGUCUCCUGUCUGCCAUCGGGRUCCUGGAGCAUCCCCUACCCCCGCUGCGAGGUGAUCACCUGCAGCAGCCCCAGCAUCUGGGAUGGAGAGCUGGCUGGAGGCCGGAGGGCUGAGUACCACCCUGGGGACAAUGUCACCUUCCAGUGCCACCCAGGCUUCGUGCUGUGGGGCAGCCAUGGGGCCACGUGCCAGCUCGAUGGCCACUGGGUGCCUGCGGUCCCCACAUGCCAGCCAGUGCUGCUGUGCCCUCCACCCCCUGUCAUCGCCCACGCCACGCUCAGCGCCGAGCCAGGGACCAACUUCAGCAGCGGCACCUCUGUGAGCUACAGCUGCCAGCCCGGCU